ACGGAGGAUGCAAGCGUUAUCCGGAUUUAUUGGGUUUAAAGGGUCCGCAGGCGGAUUAUUAAGUCAGUGGUGAAAGCCUGCAGCUUAACUGUAGAACUGCCAUUGAUACUGAUAGUCUUGAGUGUGGUUGAAGUGGGCGGAAUAUGACAUGUAGCGGUGAAAUGCAUAGAGAUGUCAUAGAACACCAAUUGCGAAGGCAGCUCACUAAACCAUUACUGACGCUCAGGGACGAAAGCGUGGGGAGCAAACAGG
rnacentral:rRNA from 1 species